GUUCUUGUAAAAACGCACCAUGUUACUUGUUAAUGCACAACCAACAUAACCUGUAUCUUUGGAAGGAUCGUGCAGGAAUCUUGUUUCUAAGGGUAGAAGACCAGUGUCUCCAAGAUCCAAUGUUUGUUUCAAUUCACCAUCAGGCCAACUAUACACAUGAAGAUGCCUCCCGUAGAGACCAUCGGCAACGUGUUGAAGGUUGAAACCUUUUACGAAAGCAGAAGGGGCACCCCAUGAUGAGCUAAUCAUUG
rnacentral:misc_RNA from 1 species